rnacentral:rRNA from 1 species
AUUACGGGAGGCAGCAGUGGGGAAUAUUGCACAAUGGGCGGAAGCCUGAUGCAGCGACGCCGCGUGAGGGAUGACGGCCUUCGGGUUGUAAACCUCUUUCAGCAGGGAAGAAGCGUAAGUGACGGUACCUGCAGAAGAAGCGCCGGCUAACUACGUGCCAGCAGCCGCGGUAAUACGUAGGGCGCGAGCGUUGUCCGGAAUUAUUGGGCGUAAAGAGCUCGUAGGCGGCUUGUCGCGUCGGGUGUGAAAGACCGGGGCUUAACUCCGGUUCUGCAUUCGAUACGGGCUAGCUAGAGUUCGGUAGGGGAGAUCGGAAUUCCUGGUGUAGCGGUGAAAUGCGCAGAUAUCAGGAGGAACACCGGUGGCGAAGGCGGAUCUCUGGGCCGAUACUGACGCUGAGGAGCGAAAGCGUGGGGAGCGAACAGGGAUUAGAUACCCUGGUAGUCCACGCCGUAAACGGUGGGCACUAGGUGUGGGCGACAUUCCACGUCGUCCGUGCCGCAGCUAACGCAUUAAGUGCCCCGCCUGGGGAGUACGGCCGCAAGGCUAAAACUCAAAGGAAUUG